GCUGGGGAUGGAGGCAUUUCACCAACUGGCUUGGAGUGCAUGUCACUAUAGGCCUUGCCCUCCAGCCCGGCCUACGCACCCCUUGCCUCUCAGCAUGUGCUUGACCGAUUUUAGAAUAUCUCAUCAUUCGCUUUAAGAGUGAGAAAGAAAGGCAAAUGAAAGGAUUAGCCCUGGAAGGGAUAAUGCUGGUUUCCAUUAAUCUCAGUGAUUCUACAUAUGGUGUAAGCCAGCUCCAGUGCAUCACCACUAUUGCUGCAGCAGGAAGUUUUUGCUCUAAAAUCCCAAAUGAUCAGAUCUGGAAAGAAAUGGACGGGAUGCUGGCUGAGCUCUCUGUGCCCUGGACCAGGCCUCUGAUGGAAGGUGGAUGUAGCCACGAACUCCUGGAUUCUGCCUCACUUCAGCUCACCUUCAAGCUCCAUGAAAGACCUGGGGUUCUGAUGAUGGACUGUCUGGCAGUAAAACAGUUCAUACACAAGACCAGCAUGGUGCACCCAAAGAUCAGAUUCCAUUACUGCGUGAACAUGAAUGGCAUUAUGUCUGCAGAGACGUACUGUGGAGAUAAAAGAGAGAGUACAUGUGUACUGAAUGGAAUAAAGCUCCUUACUGACCGGAGACACUAUAUAAGGGUUGUGGAUAGCUUGGUGUCCUGUGGUUCUAACUUUCUUUGUGACAAAAUCCAUCCUGUGCUGGGCAGGACUGUCAACCUCCUGAUUCCCCACGAAGUGGCUGAAACUGGCUUCACUGGGGAGCUGGAAUUCAUACCGGCUGCAGCGCUGUGCCCCUGCCUGAAGCUGUUUCCCAACCAGCCUGCUAAGAUAGCUGCUGUCUCCAUAUUUUUCUAUGACCCCACAGGGCUGCCCAUAUCAUUCUAUGGAAAGGGGAAAUCAUCUUUGUUCUUCAGUGACCCAUCAAACUUAGCAGAAUGGGAGAAAUACAACUAUAGCGCAACACUGGACUCCGAUCCAGGACAGGAAGAAGAUCAAGUGAGCCCAGACGUCAGAUAUAAACUUCACUGGGACCGUGGAAGCCAAGAAGAUGAUCCAGACACUUGGGAACAGACCCUGUUGCUCUUCCUCUUUCUCCACUACUCGGACCAGUUUCAAGAUAAGCCCUCUUAUGAUUUCUGGGCACGGCGCAUGAUUGCAUCCCAUCUGGAUCAGAUUCUCCUGUGCAGCCAGCAGGCAGUGAAGUGUGGAGCCCAGGCUGUCAUUGAUACAGUACUAGAAGAGCACUGCAAGAGAAGAAAGCUUCACCACAUAUCCUGCAGCCAGACUCCUGUGAACUGUGCUCCCAGGAGAUUUUGCCAACACAGCAGCGUGGGAUUUAAAUGUCUGCACAAAACUUCAGGUUCCACAAGAAGUGGGGUGGGUGACUCAGGAGCCGCUCCUCCUGAGUCAGUGAGAGCUGUUGCACUCAGUAAGAGGUGCUGUCCUUUUGGGAUUAGUCCCAAUCCCAGUUCUCUAGGGCUGGGCAGGGGAAUGCUGUAGAUGACACCAUGUAAAAGAGACCUGAACCCACUAGAUGGCAGGGUUUUCCUAGAUGUCAGGCUGAUCCCCUUAGGAGCUGAGCAAAUUCCAGUAAGACCAUCCCAUUCUGCCCCCCUUAGCUUCCUCACCACCACAGAAUUCACCUUGGUUUUCUGCCCCGUCCCUUGAUGGCCAGAUGGAGGAGUGUUGAUGGGAAUGGAAAUAUGCAGUAAAAUUCCCUUGGCCCUCCCCAGAACCAGCAGAGGUUGAAGCUGUCCCUGCCCGUCAUACUAGGUGCCAUUUCCAACGUGGUGUCCAGCAGCACUAACAGCCAAUUCAGAAGGGAAUGUCUGCAGAGUCUGCAGGUUGCAGAUACUUCAGAGCUAAUGGCAGCCAUUCAAAC